rnacentral:rRNA from 1 species
UACGUAGGGUGCGAGCGUUAAUCGGAAUUACUGGGCGUAAAGCGUGCGCAGGCGGUUUUGUAAGCCAGAUGUGAAAUCCCCGGGCUUAACCUGGGAACUGCAUUUGUGACUGCAUGGCUAGAGUUUGGCAGAGGGGGGGUAGAAUUCCACGUGUAGCAGUGAAAUGCGUAGAUAUGUGGAGGAACACCGAUGGCGAAGGCAGCCCCCUGGGUCAAGACUGACGCUCAUGCACGAAAGCGUGGGGAGCAACAGG